rnacentral:rRNA from 1 species
GACGAACGCUGGCGGCGUGCCUAAUACAUGCAAGUAGAACGCAGUUGCGAACGGGAGAGUAACGCGUAGGUAACCUGCCUCAUAGCGGGGGAUAACUACUGGCAACGAUAGCUAAUACAGCAUACUGUGAGAUGGACCUGCGUUGUAUUAGCUAGUUGGUGAGGUAAAGGCUCACGAUGGGGACGAUACAAAGCCGACUUGAGAGGAUGAUCCGACACACUGGGAAUGAGACACGGCCCAGACUCCUGCGUGAGACAGCAAUAGGGAUACUGCGCCAAUGGACGCGAGUCUGACCGAGCACCGCCGCGUGAGUGAAGAGGGUUUUCGGAUCGUUAAGCUCUGUUGUUAGAGAAGCCAUAACUAACCAAAAAGGGACGGGUAACUACGUGCCAGCGGCCGCGGUAAUUC